CCCAGGCAUCCAGACGUGGCCCAGGCAUCUGGGAGGGGCCCAGGCGUCCGGGGAGGGGGCCCAGGCGUCGGCCCGGCAGGGACCCAGGCGUCCGGGCCGCCCCCCGCCCCUCCCCCCGCAGGUCCUGGACCUCUCCCACAACGAGGUCGCGACCUUGGCCGGGCUCCCGCCCCUCCCCGCCUCGAGGAGCUGCGGCUCGACGGCAACCCCGUAAGCCACGCCCCCGCCCUGGCCCCGUUGGCCGCCUGCCCCCGGCUCGCUCGCCUGGGAUUGGCCGGGACGCCGCUGGCCGCCGCCCCCGGGGCCGCCGCCCGCCUCGCCGAGCUCCUCCCCCGCGUGGAGGUGGCUCUCGCCUGAUUGGACGGCGCCCGGCUUCCCCCCGCCCCCCCCCCCGCGCAGGCGCUGAACACGCCCCCGUUCGGCCACGCCCCUGUUCGGCCCCGCCCCCUUCGCCAGGAGGCGGGGCGUGUUUGGUGUGGGGGGGGGCAGCAAUAAAGUCAUGUGACCUGG